rnacentral:rRNA from 1 species
UACGUAGGGUGCAAGCGUUAUCCGGAAUUACUGGGUGUAAAGGGUGUGUAGGCGGCGAGACAAGUCAUAUGUGGAAUACCUGUGCUUAACGCAGGAAUUGCAUAAGAAACUGUCUGGCUAGAGUGCAGGAGAGGUAAGCGGAAUUCCUAGUGUAGCGGUGAAAUGCGUAGAUAUUAGGAAGAACACCAGUGGCGAAGGCGGCUUACUGGACUGAAACUGACGCUGAGACACGAAAGCGUGGGGAGCAAACAGG